GAGUUUGAUCUUGGCUCAGAACGAACGCUGGCGGCAGGCUUAACACAUGCAAGUCGAGCGCCCCGCAAGGGGAGCGGCAGACGGGUGAGUAACGCGUGGGAAUCUACCCAGCUCUACGGAAUAACCCAGGGAAACUUGGACUAAUACCGUAUACGUCCGAUAGGAGAAAGAUUUAUCGGAGUUGGAUGAGCCCGCGUUGGAUUAGCUAGUUGGUGGGGUAAUGGCCUACCAAGGCGACGAUCCAUAGCUGGUCUGAGAGGAUGAUCAGCCACACUGGGACUGAGACACGGCCCAGACUCCUACGGGAGGCAGCAGGUGGGGAAUAUUGGACAAUGGGCGCAAGCCUGAUCCAGCCAUGCCGCGUGAGUGAUGGAAGGCCCUAGGGUUGUAAAGCUCUUUCACCGGUGAAGAUAAUGACGGUAACCGGAGAAGAA
rnacentral:rRNA from 1 species